AAAAUGAGUCUUUGCAUUUAGAUUCAAAUGAACAUCUGAACAAAAUGAUGGGGUUUGUGGCAGAUGACCCUGCUGAAACCCUACCGGCCUGCCGUGGGGCUUUGCAGAGCCUGAGGUCUCUGGGAAGGAGGAAGGUGCUGCUGAAGGAUGUGAGAGCGAUGGGGAAUGGUGGGAAUGUUGGGGCUGGGCUGGGGUUUGGAGGAAAAGCCUCUGCUCGGACGGUGGACGGGAGGGCAGCCCCACAGCCAGGCUUUGAUUUACACACCGUGCACUUUCUGUGCUCCAGAGCCCCUCGGAAUGCAGUCCUGGAUGAUACUGAACUCCGCCGCAGAAACAAGCAUGGAAGCCGACAUAAUUAAAGGCUUCUUUUUCCCCAGCCGUGGUCCUCUGGUCUUUGAAGAGCUCGGGAAUCCCUGAGGAAUGCUCUGAACUCUGCAAUAUUUUGAUAGCUGCAAUAACAUAAUCAAAAGAUGCUUUCAUGAAGAGAGCACCUUGUGUGAAUUGAGGCUGCCCCCUCUCCCCCCGCCGAUCGCCGCUUUAAUGGGGUCCAGAGCUCCGGCGCAGAUGGGCUGGGAAGUCCUUCUCCAUCCCGUUGGCUCUCUCUACCAUCCCCAUGGGUUUGCUGUCCCUGCCCAAACCCUGGUGCAAGCCAGGGAUGUGAAAUCAUCACCCUUCCCUGCACCUUCUCCAGUUCCCUUUGUUGGGCGAGGGACCGGAGCAGAUGCAGAGCUCAAGGUGUGAGCGACCUCAGGUCCACACCACAGCACCGAGACGUUCAUCUGUUCCUCUCCAGCAUUGUGUGUGCAUCACUGGGCAGAAGUUUCUGCACAGAAGCCCCCACCGUGGCCCUUGGAGCUCCUUCCCCGAGCUCCAACACCUCCUUCAAACCCACCUCUGUGUGCACAAAGCCAGAGGGUGAAGUGUUGGGACUGAGUCGCAGCCUUCUCCCAGCGAGAAGGUGGAAAAGCUACUGCGGAGGAGCCUCUCGCAAGUGUCCUACCCCCCGUGCUGGGGCUGGAGUGGCAUCCGUGUCUCGAGGAGCAGGCAGAGGAGCCCGGUGGAGUGCCACUCGACUGCUAAAACAGCCGUCCCCGGAGGCAGCCGGGGCUGGAGAUCGCUCCAGCAAUCUCCGGUUUCCUUGGUGACAGCCGGCAUCUCUCGGCUGCACAAGAGCUUGGGCUUGAAGGAUGGAGAGGAGUCUUUUUUUUCCCCGGAUAUUAUACUCUGUUAUUGGGUGUAGGCUCUCAAAGGUCCUCAUUGUUUGGAGUCCGAGGGGCUGGGGGACGGCAGAGCCCCACCAGCCCCAUCCUCCUUCCCUGGGCUGAAGGCACGGCGGGCUCCUCACUGCAGAUCCUCUUGCAGGAGCUGUUGCCAUCUUGUUUAAUUCCAGCAUUAUCUGAUUGUCACAGCGCGCUUCUCCGGAGUAGGCAGCGCGCCAGUUUGUUACUUAACCUGUAAUUGCACUUUAGUAUAAGCUAUCUCAAAAAAUGCAUUUUCAGAGCGAGUCCUUAUAAACAGAUGAUAGGCUCCCAACACCGAAGCGGGGUGUUUUUUGGGGGGAGGCUCUCGGGAGGAUUUGGCACUGGUUCUCGUAGUUUUAGUCGCUGAUGCUUUAUCACGGGUUCACACGCCGUACGUCGUGGAAGGACACGGCCCUUAGGAGUUCGCCCUAUUAAACCAAAAAUAAAUUGCUUUUCCCCAGGAAUUUACUAUGAAUG
rnacentral:lncRNA from 1 species